rnacentral:rRNA from 1 species
GGACCCGCACAAGCGGUGGAUGAUGUGGAUUAAUUCGAUGCAACGCGAACAACCUUACCUACCCUUGACAUGUCCGGAAGCCUGCUGAGAGGUGGGCGUGCCCGAAAGGGAAUCGGAACACAGGUGCUGCAUGGCUGUCGUCAGCUCGUGUCGUGAGAUGUUGGGUUAAGUCCCGCAACGAGCGCAACCCUUGUCCCUAGUUGCUACGCAAGGGCACUCUAGGGAGACUGCCGGUGACAAACCGGAGGAAGGUGGGGAUGACGUCAAGUCCUCAUGGCCCUUAUGGGUAGGGCUUCACACGUCAUACAAUGGCCGGUACAGAGGGUUGCCAACCCGCGAGGGGGAGCCAAUCCCAGAAAGCCGGUCGUAGUCCGGAUUGCAGUCUGCAACUCGACUGCAUGAAGUCGGAAUCGCUAGUAAUCGCGGAUCAGCAUGUCGCGGUGAAUACGUUCCCGGGUCUU